UAAAGGCGCUUUCUGUGUCCUCUAAAUGAGUCGUUGAAUAUCAACAAACCUACUUACAGCUCUGCAAUGUAUUUAGACGAAGAAAUAUCCCGGAAGUAUUUCCGGGGUCUUUGACCUCGUGUAUAAAGGAAACACAUUUGACUGAUUUGACUGAGAUGGAAAAAAUCCUACUCUUGGGAUGACAGAAGAGGCGCAAGAUUUCUCAAUGUUGAGCCUGUAAGGUUUUAGAAGGUCAAACCAUUUAUAACCAAAAGCAUGACCUUCAUGACGUUUCCUCUACAGUCUCUAUCAGAUUUGGAACAUUCGGUACACAUUAGUCCUCAAUAUUUCAACGGCUGCUUCCUCUGAGUAGGACUGAAUGGAUGUUGGAUUCAUUCAUUUCGAGCACUGACGAAUUAAACGUAAUGUCAGGAACCUUCUCCAUUAUCACAACGGACUGAUCAUUUAUAUAUUUACUGAAAGCAUUUACCUCUGUCUCCUGUUUAUGAAAAGUUUAAGAGCCAAGAUGAAAUAAAUGAACAAAUAGGGAAACUCAAGAAUGGAUAAAUGAG